UCUAGAUAGAGAAGCUCAAAAAUGAAAUCAGCUGCCUCCCAGGAUUUUUAAAAUGGAGAUAAGGAUAACCUUGUUAGAGAUUCUGGAAGAAUUCAAUAAAGUAAGAAAUACAAAAGGGUCUCGAAAGUGUUAGCACAAGCUAAAAACACUGAAGCUCAGAGUUGAAGAGACUUACCCAAAACUGCCGUCGGUUUAGACAUCCUCUCCUCCCUGAUUCCUGCUCUUGACAGGGGAUGAAAAGGAGGUUCUGAGAAGUUUACUUUCUCAAAGUCACCAAUGAAGUAAAGCACAGAGGCCAGGCUCAAGGUAGCUGUCUAGAAGUCCAAGCCUUGGGCUCUUCUUACUGACAUGCAGUCAUCUGAUUCAUCACAGAGGAGGAUAACCGUGGCCAAGAGAUGUUGACGGUUUGCCUAAGAUUGCAGAACCUGCUAAAAGCAGAAGCAUUUUCAAGCACAGAAACACCCAGGGAAAUGUUCAUUCUUCCUUCAACAACUCUGAAAUCUCCUAAAACAUGCAGCCCACCAGGAGUGGCAAUGGAAAAAAAGGCACAGGAAGAAAAUAAACCAAGAAGGAAAAGAUAACACACACAUCUCAUGUGGGCCUUCAGGAAGGAUGGGAGAAGCAGGGCAGGGAGAGGGAGAAGCACCAGCCAGCCUCAGUUCUUCCUUUGCUCAUCCCUCCCCCUUCUUUUCCCUUCCCUCCCCCGUUUCCUGCAUGCAGCAGCAAAUGUAUGAAUGCUUGGAUGGCUUGGCAAAACACUCUCCAAGAUUUA